UUAGAGUUUGAUCCUGGCUCAGGAUGAACGCUGGCGGCGUGCCUAAUACAUGCAAGUCGAACGCGCGGAUCAGGAGCUUGCUCCUGUGACGCGAGUGGCGGACGGGUGAGUAACACGUAGGCAACCUGCCCAUCAGACCGGGAUAACCACGGGAAACCGUGGCUAAUACCGGAUAAUCCUUUUCCACACAAGUGGGAGAGUUGAAAGGCGGCCUUUUGGCUGUCACUGGUGGAUGGGCCUGCGGCGCAUUAGCUGGUUGGUGGGGUAACGGCCCACCAAGGCGACGAUGCGUAGCCGACCUGAGAGGGUGAUCGGCCACACUGGGACUGAGACACGGCCCAGACUCCUACGGGAGGCAGCAGUAGGGAAUCUUCCGCAAUGGACGAAAGUCUGACGGAGCAACGCCGCGUGAGUGAAGAAGGGUUUCGGCUCGUAAAACUCUGUUGUCAGGGAAGAACGCCGACGGGAGUAACUGCCCGUCGGGUGACGGUACCUGACCAGAAAGCCACGGCUAACUACGUGCCAGCAGCCCGCGGUAAUACGUAGGUGGCCAAGCGUUAUCCUGGAAUUAUUGGGCGUAAAGCGGCGCGUAGGCGGUUUCGUUAAGUCUGAAUGUGAAAGCCCCCGGCUCAACCGGGGAGGGUCAUUGGAAACUGGCGGACUUGAGUGCAGAAGAGGAUUUGACUCGAACCGUGGAAUUUCAUGUGUAGCGGUGAAAUGUGCAGAGAUAUAGAGGAACACCACUGGCGAAGGCGGCUCUCUGGUGUGCACCUGACGCUGAGGUGUGAAAGAGUGGGGAUCUAACAGGAGUAGAUAUCCUGGUAGUCCACGCCGUAUACGAUGAGUGUUAAGUGUUAGGGGGUUUCUGCCCCUUAGUGCUGCAGAUAACGCACUAAGCACUCCGCCUGGGGAGUACGGCCGCAAGGUUGAAACUCUAAGGAAUUGACGGGGAGCCGCACAAACGGUGGAGCACGUGGUUUAAUUUGAAGCAACGCGAAGAAAUGCCAUGGACAUCCU
rnacentral:rRNA from 1 species